CUCACUUUAAGCCACCGAGUUGCUAAUAAUUUAUUACAGUAGCCACAGAAUAUUAAUACGGAGAAUUGUCCAAUACCCUUGAUAGGACGAGUGGGUUAUGUGGAGUGGUGGGGUUUCUGGUGACACAGAAGGUCAGGUAAGACUCAUGGGUCCCAGGAGAAAGGGGCAGCUCCCACCAAGCAGGAAGGGACCCUGAAUUCACAGGAUUUGGGGACCAAGGGUCACCCAUAGCCUGGUGCCCAGGACAUCUCCAGAACUGGCCCCAGAAACCCAGCUUCCAUAGGUGGCUUCCUCCGCCUGUCUAUGGGGACAGAAACCCGCCUCCCAGCGGCAGACACAGCAGGUGCAAGCUGCAGACCAGGGAAGGAUCUCGCUGCCUCUCUUGGCUUGCUCCCAGCCUGCAUCUUUAAACCACCCUACGUGUACCCGGAUGACCUUCCUUCCAGUCAUGGACCUGAGAGCCGAGGCUGAGCUCGGCAAGGGCUCCUGGGAGCCUGUCCCCAACCCUGCUCUGCAGCUGUCCCAGAUGUUCUGACCGUGACCUCCCAUCUGCCCUCAGUGAGCAUGCCCUGCACCCUGAGGGCUCGCUGGGUCCGUCUUAUGGCUCUCCCGGGCUGCUGGUGGUUGGGACCAGGACACAAAGCAGCCACCUUGGGGCAAACAGGAGGCUGCGAGAUGAACGUAUCCAAGUCGGAGCCCUGAAGAAAUCCGGGACGAGAGCACACGGGGUGUUAGCGGCGCUGGCCUUCCUCAGAGCUUGGGCACAGCUCACUGAGGCUGAUAUUCUACAGUGUACUCGCCGGGGGACGGGCAGGGCAUGGCCCCGGGGGGCAGGGGUGCCCCGAGUGCGGGCAAGGCUCGCUUCUGUGCCUGUCUCCCUCUUCCCCGAGGUGCCUCCGCGCUCGUGGGUCUGGCCCUCGAGGACACGCAAGCUUCAGCACUCUCAGGCCAUCCGCCAUUUGGGAGUCGUUGCAGGCGGUGGAGACAACCGCGGGAUCCUUCCAGAGCGGGAAUGAACAAGGGCAGAAUUUGAAUUAGUGAAGAAUAACAUCGCGGGGCGGCGCCAGGGCGUGGGAAAGGUUGGCUUCUUAAUGUCUCUGAGGAAGAGGAGCCAGGAGUGCAAAGGCCGGGAGGCGGGACCAGAGGCCGUCGGGAGGCCGCGUCGGCCAAGGGGAGGAUAUGGGCUUGAUCGGGAGACUCGCGACGACGGGUCCUGGGCCUGGCGCCCCCCACGCGGGCCCCUGGGAAGGCGGGAGCCAGAACUAGGGCCGACUGACCGGCCGGAACUGAAGGCCGGAGCUGCAGGCGCCGGCCCGGACCCCGGGCGAGCGGACCGGAAGCCCGAGGGCUCCGCCCCGAGGCCUGCGCACCCCGGAGGGGACGGAACGGCUGCGGCGGCCGCGCUGGGCGCUCGGAGGGGCCCGGGUCCCUGGUACGCGCCCCACGACACUUCCCCGAGGGGCGGGGGGCCCGCUCCGGUCCCCUGGUCCCCGCACGCAGCGCGGAGCCCUCUUCCCUCCGCCUUCGGGCCGCGGCACGGAGGGAGAAGUGCCUCUGCCCGAGAGCCGGGCCCGUAGGGAACCGAGGUCCCGCCGCGCGCGGCCGUCCCUCCCCAGGACUCCCAGCCGUCCUGCCGGCCGCGGCCAGCCACGCCCGCCCGGCGGGGCGUUAACUCCGUGGGCGCCCGGGAGGCGGCGUCCCAAAUUCAGCGGUCCCGCCUUCCCCGGCAAAGCCGGUGUUUGGUAGCCCUUGCUUCCAGGCAGACUUCCGGGGAUCCGGGCCCAGAAGGGAUCUGCCUUGUGUAGCCUCGCUAGGGGACGAAGAGCUGGGGAUGGGAGACGUGUGGGUCGCUCUGAAAAGACAGGGGGAGCCGGCUGUUCUCUGGACCAGUGACAUCUCUGGAAUCGCUGGGGUGGGCUCCAGCCUGGACAAGUCAGGGCCCGGUUUGGAGUCCUGUGUGGUACUUAGCAUGCUGAAGGAAGAUGGAUGGAGCCGGCACGGAAGAGCACGUGGAGGGCCGCCGCCCAUGUGCCCACCCUGGCAGCACACGAAGGACUUGCCCAGAGUUGCCCACGUGAAGGAGUGCAGCCCCGCCUAUGUGAGUGUGUGUCGGGAAGUGAGCAGUUUCCACUAAUGGCCGAAGGCCCGGCGCAUUACCUGCGGCUUUCACUGCCGGGUCCUCCGGGGCUCGAUGAGGAUUACCCAAAUCGGGACGUCUCAUGCCUGUGGGUGCACUGCUGUUGACGGAGCUUCAAGCGCUUGCAGAAAAGGAGUUCCUGCUCUGACUGCACAGGAAGGGCCUCGCCUUGGAUGAAUUAUCUGGUGUCUGGCCACCGCACAAAGGCCUUUCUGCUGUUGAGGCGGACUGAAGGUGGGUACCGGUGCUGGGGGUGUGCCUAGGUGGGGGCUGGCUACAGGCCCUGGGGAAGGACUGCAUGCCCUUCCCCCGCUUACAGAAGCCUGUUGCCUGAGUGGACUGCCCCACAGCCCAGGGCCACUGCUGGGAGCAGCACCAGGAAAGCCAGUCACUCCACUCACAGGCCACAUACAGAGGGCUUCAGGAGGGAGAACCCCGGUCGUGCACGUUACUGGAGAGCAGGUGGAGUCCCACAUGAGGAAUCCAACUCCCUCAAAUUAUAAGAUCACCGGACCGGGGCUCGUGCCAAAGCCGCAGCCCUCGGAGCCUGUGUGCUAAGAAAGUUGUCCUGCCACCCGCCAACACCUCCCAGGCCCCUCGCCUGAGGGGGCAGAGCCCAGCGCUGUCCUCUGCCAGGAGCCUUGGCUCCACCUUGGGUCUCUUCUAAAGGCCCAAGGCAGUUCCCUGGAUUCAGUCUCAGGGACUCUUCCCGGCUCAGCAUCCUGGGCAGGAGCCUACAUCCUGGAGCUGGCCUUCAAUUCAGAAUCCUAGCUGGAAGAGUUGAAGAGAAACGGACAGGCUGGCAAUCCCCACGAGGGCAAAAGGGUGCCAGAAGUCACGGAGCAAACCCAAGCAGCCGCAGGAAUCUUGGAUAGCUUGGCCAGAUUUCCUCAAGACUCCUGAAGUCUGUAAAAGAUGAGAGACAUAAAGAAAGGAAUUUCAGCAGGACCUGAGGGCAGCCAGCUCAGUGGGUAGCGGUCAGGGGUGGGUCACCUCUUUGUCUCUCUAGGCUUGGUUCCUCCCCUACCCUGUCUGCUCUCACCUGUCUGACCACUGACCCCCUGCUGGUUUCUGCCUCCCUCUUACUCAUCUUCAUCCCCAGCUGCCCAGUAGAAGCUUCCACAUUGUCCCCCAGACACGCCAUACCCAGCUCCAGCUGUUUGGUGGCUGUACCAAAGCCGUGCUGGGAAUUGCUGCGAACCAGGCUUUAGAGUCUAGGAUAGGUGAGGCCUAGUCAGAAAAAUGGACCCCAAAGAUGUCUGCAUCCUACUCCCCACUGCCUGUCACUAUGACCUCCUGCAGCAAAAGGGACAUUUGCAGACGUGAUGUAAAACCACCAGGGGGCGCAUGAAGGGCUCAGUUGGUUAAGCAUCCGACUUUGGCUCAGGUCAGGAUCUCAUGGUCCAGUGGUUCCAGCCCUGCAUC